UACAGAGGGGGCAAGCGUUGUUCGGAAUUACUGGGCGUAAAGGGCGCGUAGGCGGCCUUCUAAGUCGAACGUGAAAUCCCCGGGCUCAACCCGGGAACUGCGUCCGAUACUGGAAGGCUUGAAUCCGGGAGAGGGAUGCGGAAUUCCAGGUGUAGCGGUGAAAUGCGUAGAUAUCUGGAGGAACACCGGUGGCGAAGGCGCAUCCUGGACCGGCAUUGACGCUGAGGCGCGAAAGCCAGGGGAGCAAAGCGGG
rnacentral:rRNA from 1 species